rnacentral:pre_miRNA from 1 species
AAAGUACUGAUCUCAGCAGAUUGAGGAGAGCACCACAGUGGUCACCAUGCAGUCCGCUGAGGUUGGAGCUGC